rnacentral:lncRNA from 1 species
CGGCUGGGAUCCCGCGUUGCUGUGGCUCUGGCGAAGGCCGGUGGCUACAGCGUAGGCCGGUGGCUACAGCUCCGAUGAGACCCCUGGCCUGGGAAUCUCCAUAUGCCACGGGAGCGGCCCAAGAAAUAGCAACAACAACAACAACAACAACAAAAGACAAAAAAGACAAAAAAAAAAAAAAAAAAAAAUGAAGCUAACAAGUGUUAAGUAUUUUUGAUUAUCAAAAAUAAAAAGUGGAAACCUUAUGUUUGACAAGAUUUCUAUCUAAAGUUAAUAAAAUCCAAACCCAGGGAACCUGUGAUUUAUGGCAUCCACUACCUUGGAAAGAAAAGGAAGCUUCUGUGCUGCUAAAAUUUUGUUCUAUAAAGCCCAAACCAUAGAUACUAAGCAAAAAUUUCCUACAUGUACUUGGGCUAGUAUGCCAAAUAUUUUAUCAGGGAUCAGCCAGACCUGAUUUAGUCCAACAACGCCAUCUUCAACCAGAGCACUCUUAUGAAUUCACAAAAUGUACCAAUCGAUUUAAUUUUUUUAAAACUCCACUUUUAAAAAAUGAAAAGAAGGAAAUAAAGACAAAUGGAUGUGCAAAGAAAGUAUCUUAUUUAAGAAUUUUGAUAAUUUGGAGAAGCAAGAAAACAUAAAUCUUAUUGUAUUAUAUCACAGAAAAAAAAUGUGAAAGAAUAAUGUAUAAUAUACUGCUGUUAGUAGACGUAAGUGCCUUCUUUAAUUAUUUGAAAUAAAAAUAAUUACUAAACGCCAUUCUCGAGUCAGCAUUCAUAAACAUUUCAUAGAUGUGUUCUUAUUAUGAUUCAACCAUAUGGCUCUUCCUUAUUUCGAAAGGUUUGGUAAACAACUGCUAUUUCUUAUCCUAUGAGCAUAAUGGACUUUUUAAAAUGAUUUUUAUUUUUUCACUUUUUAGGGCCACACCUGCACUAUAUGGAUUAUUACUUUUUUACCUGACUAAUAAGAUUUACAUAUUUCAUUGAAACUCCCAUUGAAAACUCAAAAACUUAGUACAGAAGAAAAAUAUUCAUAAAUUUAAGAAAAAAUACAAAGCACAUUAUUGGACUAUAAUAUCAAGUUAAAUACAAAUAUAAACAUUUAUUUAUAAAUCACCAACACUUUAAUAAGCAAACCUAAUUAUUUUGUAACUACUAGUAAAUAAGUCACAGGGAUAUAAUGUAUAGCACAGGGAAUAUAAUCAAUAUUUUAUAAUAGCUUUGUAUGAUGUCUGUAAAAAUACUUAAUCAUUAUGUUGUAUACCUGAAACUAAUAAAAUAUUGUAAGUCAAAUAUAUUUCAGUAAAUAUAUAAAUACAUGGAAAAAUAAAUAAAUAUAAAUAGCUUCCCUAAAUAACUCUGAAAAAGAGAAAAUUAACAUUAAAAUUUUUUUAAAAAUACAACAAAACAGUAAGAACACUGUAAAUGGAAACCUGAAUUCUGACAAAGUUCACCCCCAAACACGCAUAUUUUAAAAUCAAUACAUUAAAAAAAAUUAGAAUAUUUUCCUCUUUUGUUUUUUAUGCUUCUAGUAAAGAGUGGGAAAGAUUAAUUUCAGAUUUUUGUGUUCAUAUUAUUUAAAUAAUAGUAAAGAUUUAGGAAAACUUCAGCAGCAUUUUAAAGACAUAGACCUUUUGCUCCAAGAGGUCUUAUUUUCAAGAUUCCUUUCAAUCCAAAGCUGUUAUGUUAUAAACACUGUCCAAUCCCAACCAGCUCCCUGGUUUGCGAGGCCUAGUUAAAAUUACCCAACAUAAGCCCUUGAAUCCUUUAAUAACCUUCCCAUAAUUUUGCCCUUUGGAAACACUAAGGACCAUGUCAAGGAGGUUUUAUUCCAUAUUACAGCAUGUCUUACAAACUUAACUUUACCCUCAUCAACAUGGUUUUUAUUGGUGGUCCUUUGGGAGACAAUAGUCAACAGUAGAAAUAGGCCUUUAUUAAUCUCAUGUUUAUUCAAUGCUGUAGUCAUAUGUUUUAAUCAUGCUAAUCAUGCUAAUAAGCAUGCUACUUUAUUACUUACCUAGUGUAAGUAUACACAUGUGUAUGUACAGAGAUAUACAUAUGUUUAUGAAUAUAAAAAUUAUGUACUAGAAUUUGAUCAAUUAUUGUUUUAUUGUUGAUCCAUAUGGGUCCAUUAUUUACAUUACUGUAUAAUGACAUUUUUUCAUCUCCCUGCUUUUGGCUAGAUUAAAUUUCCUUUUCUUCAUAAUUUUUACUCUAUAUGUUAAAAUGAUGAAAUUUAUUUUCUAUUUAUUACAAUUCAUUAAAAUCUUUAUGUAACUUUAUUUUUUCUGUUAAUACAUAAAUUAUUCUCUAAAUAUAUUGCAUUUUAUAGAAAAAUCCCUGGUAUGAUUUCAUUUCAGUUACUCUUUCUCUACUUCUAUCAUACCACUACUCUACAAAUCUCUUGAAGGAUCACCACUAAUUUUAACUCCAUAGCAUUUGAUAAAUUUUAAAAAUUCGAUGAAGAGUUUACUUUGUAAUUUUGGGUAGAAAACUGGAUAUUUACAAUACUAUAUGAGUAUAAUUCUAGAUUUAUUUUUCCUUCUUAAUUGUGGUUAUCAUUGCAAUUGUUUGUUGUUUGCUUGCUUGAUUAUUUAAUAACUUGCCUGGACUAAUGUAGUGAAAUGUGCCCCCCAUUAGUGUAUAAAUACAUAUGCCAUUGCUCAAUAUUUUAAAAUUCUUUUUAUCAUUUAAUCUUGUUUUCCUGGAGUUCUCCUUGUGUCUGCAUAUGUUUGUGGUCAGAGCUGGUGCUUAAACAUCUAAGCAAAUAAUCCUUCCGUCACUUCUGUUUAUGUGAGUAUGUUUAGGCAACAUCGUUAAAGAUCAGGUGGUCCUCAGUUCCAUGUAGUUCUGCUUUCUGCUGUUGCCCUGCAUGUGUUCACAGUCUCACAGCCAACCUGGGAUACAAAGAUUAAGUGGAUCAAUGUGUUCUCCAGGCUUGUGCAUACAGCUUUCAAACAGGUGUAUGCAGUGAGCUUAUCACAGCCUCCUGUGGCUGACUUAUUCCUGGCACUUCCUCCUAAAUUUCUGUCCAGCCAGCUGGAUUAUUGCUUACUCAACUAAAGCUACAACCUCAGUGGUUCAUUGACUAAUUUCUUUUUUUCCUCCAUUGAGAUUAUUCCUGUUAUUGCCAAUGCCAAUGGGCAAGGGGUUUUCAAUGCUCUAUUCCAAAUCAAAUAGUCCUUUCUGGUGGUAAAUUUGCAUGAUUUUCCAUUACCUGUCCUAAUCUGGCAGAACUCCUGGGCUGACCAAGCUUUGGGAAGAAGUAGGGACAAACAAGUUCAGCAGUAACCCUACUGACUUCCCAGUAUUCUUACCCAUGUGGGAGUCAAGAUUCUGAGAUGGCCCCAUGGUCUCUGACUCCUGAGGUUUACACCUUAUAUAAACCCCUUAUUUAAGUGCAGACAUAAUCUGUAACUUGCUUUUACUCAAUAAAAUAUCAGAGUUAAGGGGACUGUGCAGAUGUAAUGAGAUCUCAAAUCAGUUGUAUUUGAGUUAAUCAAAUUAGCAUCUACACAUUUUAAGUUAGAGAUCAAUAAUCCUUAAAUACUUAAUCCUCUUUAUAAAAAUUUGGAUAAAUAUGGAAUAAGAGUAUAGGAACAGAGUUUCUGUUGUGGCUCAGUGGUAACAAAACUGACUAGUAUCCAUUAGGAAGUGGGUUCGAUCCCUGGCCUCACUUAAGUGGGUUAAGGAUCUGCCAUUGUUGUGAGCUGUGGUAUAAGUUGCAGAUGCAGCUUGGAUCCUGAGUUGCUGUGGCUGUGGUGUAGGCUGGCAGCUGCAGCUUUUAUUCAACCCCUAGCCUGAGGGCUUUCAUAUGCCA